rnacentral:rRNA from 1 species
AUGAAUGAUAUAAUGUUUUCUUUUGAGAAGGAAGGGGGCAAUGCAAGACCAAGUCACUUUAUGAUAGCAUUCAGGGAUGCUUUUGAAGAGUGUGGCCUCUCUGAGUUAGGCUACUAUGGGGACAAGUUCACUUGGCAUAGAGGACUUAUUAGGGAGCGCCUGGACCGAGCUAUCUCUAAUGAAGGCUGGAACAAUAUGUUUCCGCAAGCAAGAGUUGAACACUUGGAGUUUCAUAAGUCUGAUCAUAGACCAAUUCUAUUGCAUUUGGCUGAGGAGGAAGCUCAUGUAUAUAUUGGACCGUAUGUGCUUUGUUUCGAAGCCAGGUGGUUGAAAGAGGUGAACUUCAGGAAUGCCAUAGAAGAGGUUUGGCAAGGACUAGAUCCCAAUAAUCUAGAUAUGGGCCUAGCAAAAAAAUUGGCCCAAGUUCAUAAAGCUUUGCAUCAUUGGGAUAAAACUGUGCUGCGGAAUAGUUCCAAGAAAUUGAAGAGUGUACAUAGGGAAAUUGAGGCUGUCAGUCGGGAAUCUUUUACCCCGGAAAAUGUUGCCCGACAAAAGCUGUUAGCGGAAGAGUUGGAACGACUCCUAGAGAAUUGUUUUGGGUAA